rnacentral:rRNA from 1 species
AUUGAACGCUGGCGGCAGGCUUAACACAUGCAAGUCGAGCGGAGAUGAGGUGCUUGCACCUUAUCUUAGCGGCGGACGGGUGAGUAAUGCUUAGGAAUCUGCCUAUUAGUGGGGGACAACAUUCCGAAAGGAAUGCUAAUACCGCAUACGUCCUACGGGAGAAAGCAGGGGAUCUUCGGACCUUGCGCUAAUAGAUGAGCCUAAGUCGGAUUAGCUAGUUGGUGGGGUAAAGGCCUACCAAGGCGACGAUCUGUAGCGGGUCUGAGAGGAUGAUCGGCCACACUGGGACUGAGACACGGCCCAGACUCCUACGGGAGGCAGCGGUGGGGAAUAUUGGACAAUGGGGGAAACCCUGAUCCAGCCAUGCCGCGUGUGUGAAGAAGGCCUUAUGGUUGUAAAGCACUUUAAGCGAGGAGGAGGCUACUGAGACUAAUACUCUUGGAUAGUGGACGUUACCCGCAGAAUAAGCACCGGCUAACUCUGUGCCAGCAGCCGCGGUAAAAC